AUUGUGUAAAUGCGUCUCAAGGAGUAGACACACUUUUGUGAAGAUUACUCAACAUUUGAACCACAGAAGACGGCAAAUACUGUUGAACAUUUCUGUCCUCACCCCUCAGAGCUCUACUGAGCUAUUUGGACAAUCCCUACUAAGCGGGGUUUACUGCAGUGCAUUGAAACAAUCUUCACAGAGAUAUACAUUAAGUCAAGUCCUGAAAUGACGAAUUCCGCUACUCCCAGGCACUGUGCGGAGGCUCAGAAAAUCACUCAUCUAGGAUGCAGAGUGAAGAGGAAUUCCAGCCCAGCAGGAGAUAGAGAGGCAAUAGCUUGGCCAUAGACUGUCCCAUCAGUACUGCAUCAUAAUCUCACUCCAGAUUCCCUGGAAGCUCUGAUUUGUCUGCCACACCAGUGUUUAAGAAGGGCUGGUUCGUGACAUUUCUCUGAUCCUCCUGCUUUCCCUUUUGGAUUCUCAUUGUCUCACGAAUCUUACAACUGGCUCCUACUGCACAUCUCCCUGCAGCUCUCCAAACAGACCCUGUUCCUGUGGACUCCUCCACCAAACACAGAGAGACUCUUCCAUUGAAGUGCAAUCAGAAACAUUGGCAAUGCAAGAAAGCUACAAAACUAUUUAGGUAAA